AAAGUUCAGUUGAAAUUCAGAACACUGCAGCUAAUGAGUGAAUUACAGUGGAAUGGCUGCUGGAAAUUGUCCAGGAGAUGCAUAAUCAAGAGAGCAAAUUUAAAGCAUUCUUUGCAAAAGGUGGUGUCCUGGAGUGCUGAACUGGAGAAACAGAAAGACAGAUGGAGGAAAUCAAAUGAAUCAGGAAACAAGGACCUGAAUGCCAAAUAGGUAGUUUCCUGUACUUCUGAAUAUUGCCUCCC